GUCUACAGCCAUGCCACCCUGAACAAGCCUGAUCCCGUCUGAUCUUGAAGCUAAGCAGGAUCAGGCCUGGUUAGUACUUAGAUGGGAGACCACCUAGGAAGACCAGGUGCUGUAGGUG
rnacentral:rRNA from 1 species